CAUGCAAGUCGAGCGAGAAAGUGACUUCGGUUGCGAGUAAAGCGGCGAACGGGUGAGUACAACGUGGAUAAUCUACCCUAAGGUCCGGGACAACCCCGAGAAAUCGGAGCUAAUACCGGAUAAGACCACAGUAUCCAAGGAUACAGCGGUAAAAGAUUUAUCGCCUUUGGAUGAGUCCACGUCCCAUCAGGUAGUUGGUAAGGUAAAAGCUUACCAAGCCUAAGACGGGUAGCCGGCCUUAGCGGGUGAACGGCCACAUGGGGACUGAGACACGGCCCUGACUCCUACGGGAGGCAGCAGUGGGGAAUAUUGGGCAAUGGGCGAAAGCCUGACCCAGCGAUGCCGCGUGAGGGAUGAAGGCCUUCGGGUCGUAAACCUCUGUCAGGAGGGACGAUGGGACACUUGUGUCUUGACGGUACCUCCAGAGGAAGCCCCGGCUAACUCCGUGCCAGCAGCCGCGGUAAUACGGAGGGGGCAAGCGUUGCUCGGAAUUACUGGGCGUAAAGGGUCCGCAGGCUGUCAGGCAAGUUGGUUGUGAAAGCUCAAGGCUUAACCUUGGAAUUGCAUCCAAAACUGCCUGACUAGAGUCCAAGAGAGGUUGGCGGAAUUCCCGGUGUAGCGGUGAAAUGCAUAGAUAUCGGGAGGAACACCAGAGGCGAAGGCGGCCAACUGGCUUGGAACUGACG
rnacentral:rRNA from 1 species